rnacentral:rRNA from 1 species
GAUGAACGCUGGCGGCGUGCCUAAUACAUGCAAGUCGAGCGAACAGACGAGGAGCUUGCUCCUCUGACGUUAGCGGCGGACGGGUGAGUAACACGUGGAUAACCUACCUAUAAGACUGGGAUAACUUCGGGAAACCGGAGCUAAUACCGGAUAAUAUAUUGAACCGCAUGGUUCAAUAGUGAAAGACGGUUUUGCUGUCACUUAUAGAUGGAUCCGCGCCGCAUUAGCUAGUUGGUAAGGUAACGGCUUACCAAGGCGACGAUGCGUAGCCGACCUGAGAGGGUGAUCGGCCACACUGGAACUGAGACACGGUCCAGACUCCUACGGGAGGCAGCAGUAGGGAAUCUUCCGCAAAGGGCGUAAGCCUGACGGAGCAACGCCGCGUGAGUGAUGAAGGUCUUCGGAUCGUAAAACUCUGUUAUUAGGGAAGAACAAAUGUGUAAGUAACUAUGCACGUCUUGACGGUACCUAAUCAGAAAGCCACGGCUAACUACGUG